CCUACGGGUGGCUGCAGUAACGAAUAUUGGGCAAUGGGCGCAAGCCUGACCCAGCAAUGCCGCGUGCAGGAGGAAGCCCCUCGGGGUGUAAACUGCUGUCAGGACCCAGCAAGCAACGGAGGUUAACAGCCUUCGAAGUUGAGCCGGUCCAAAGGAAGCCUCGGCUAACUCUGUGCCAGCAGCCGCGGUAAGACAGAGGAGGCAAGCGUUGUUCGGAAUCACUGGGCUUAAAGCGGGUGUAGGCGGCCGCGCAAGUGUCUUGUGAAAUCCCCCGGCUCAACCGGGGAAUGGCUGGGCAAACUGCGUGGCUUGAGGUCGGUAGAGGCGCCUGGAACUCUAGGUGGAGCGGUGAAAUGCGUAGAUAUCUAGAGGAACGCCGGAGGCGAAAGCGGGGCGCUGGGCCGAUUCUGACGCUGAGACCCGAAAGCGUGGGGAGCAAA
rnacentral:rRNA from 1 species